AUUUAUAUAGUUUAAAAAAUAUAGCAUUUUCAAUGCUAAGAUAGGUCAAAACCUUAUAAAUA
rnacentral:tRNA from 1 species